rnacentral:rRNA from 1 species
UACAGAGGUCUCAAGCGUUGUUCGGAUUCAUUGGGCGUAAAGGGUGCGUAGGCGGCGCGGUAAGUCGGGUGUGAAAUCUCGGAGCUUAACUCCGAAACUGCAUUCGAUACUGCGGUGCUUGAGGACUGGAGAGGAGACUGGAAUUUACGGUGUAGCGGUGAAAUGCGUAGAUAUCGUAAGGAAGACCAGUGGCGAAGGCGGGUCUCUGGACAGUUCCUGACACUGAGACACGAAGGUCAGGGGAGCAAACGGG